rnacentral:lncRNA from 1 species
ACCAGAUGCAGAGCUUUGUCGACAUUCAUGACUCCCUGGAUUUUCCCCCUAGGGUUUUACUUUGCUCCUUGAGUGAUGGAAGCUUGGUUAUGCCCCUGUACGAGCAACCAUUCACCGUUCCCAGAUUCAAACGGCUUCAACUUGAGCCUCCAGAGAUAGUCCAAAUUCAGGCAAAUGAUGGAACUACACUGUUUGGAGCUCUGUAUAAACCUGAUGAAACAAGAUUUGGACCUCCACCAUACAAAACCUUGAUCAGUGUCUAUGGCGGCCCAAGCGUGCAGCUUGUUUGUGAUUCUUGGAUGAAUACAGUUGACAUGAGAGCCCAGUAUUUACGUAGCAGAG